rnacentral:rRNA from 1 species
GAGACAGCAGUAGCCGCGGUAAUACGAAGGGUGCAAGCGUUAAUCGGAAUUACUGGGCGUAAAGCGUGCGUAGGCGGUUUGUUAAGUCUGCUGUGAAAUCCCCGGGCUCAACCUGGGAAUGGCAGUGGAUACUGGCAAGCUAGAGUGUGUCAGAGGAUGGUGGAAUUCCUGGUGUAGCGGUGAAAUGCGUAGAGAUCGGGAGGAACAUCAGUGGCGAAGGCGGCCAUCUGGGACAACACUGACGCUGAGGAGCGAAAGCGUGGGGAGCGAACAGGAUUAGAUACCCCUGUAGUCCCUGUCUCUUAUAC